UCCCUUUAAAACGGCUGACUUCAUGAAGGUCUGAGGUAGGUGUUGAUUUGAUAUAAUUUUUUGCCCAGUGCUUGUAGUGUCCAAGUGAAGAAAUUUGAUGUAGAGUUGAUAAAUGCCAGAAGUAACUGUCUCCCUUAAUGUAGCUAAAUGCAUCAUCAUCUAAUUAGUAAGAUACAUCAGUGAUGA
rnacentral:rRNA from 1 species